CUUUGAGUUAGAGGGAGUCUGGAGUCUUUGUGUGGUCCUGGAGGCUGGCUGGAGCUGUGAUGUGAAGCUGCAUUUUAUUUUAUUUUGAUGUUUUCUCUUUACUGCAGCUUCACGAGCUACAAAUGAGGCUACACGCUGACCAAGUCACACUGAAACAAGAGCAAGGGGAGAGCCGGUGCUUGGAUCAGCAAGUUGCCAGCCUGUCAGCUGAGUUUAUGGAUCUGCAGAAAAGGGUGAGAUCGAUAGAAGGACAAUUGAGGCUGUCGGAGUGUUUGAGCCCUGGGAGCAGGUUAAGCCACGGAUUUUUGUGCAGCUGAGGUUUUGCACGGGCACGUUUGCUUCUGCGUGCCCCAGAACAUAAUCCACCGUAAAUGCGAUUAAAUGUGUGUAGACCAAGCAACAGUAAAAGCUGAAGAGAGUGGGUGACCUUAGUCUUCAAACAGCCCCAGUGGCCUGAAGCUGCUUCAGUCACAGACUUGCUUUAAAUUUCAUUCUUCAAGUUGACAACGUUUUCUAUGCCUGCCUGUGUUUCCAAGGAGUGGAUUAAAUUAAAACCCUUCCCAGGCGUUUGUUGUGAUUCGGCAGCCUGCUGAGUAAUGCUCGUUGCACGUGUUUUUUAUUUUGUGGGACAGCUUUUCCCCACAGGUCCAUGGACUGUUCUGGACAGAGGUUUAACUGUGAGGCAGCUGGUCUGAUUGUAGACCAACCCUUUUAGUUCAUCUCCAGGAGAAGCGAGUUGUAUUUGGACUUUUGUAGAGUUACGUAUGGUUUAGUUCAGUGUUGGGGGGAGGAAAUGUGUGAGGUUUUAUACAAUCCUGGCUGGCUAAUAUUUAACCAUGCUGAUCGUGGAGUGCCUGGAGGCAGAGCUGCUUCUGCAUUAUGUGGUUUGGGAGAGUUGUUCCCUUCGGUGGGAGCUCUGGAGUUCUGUGCUGGUUCUACCUCUAAAAGAUGAAACGUUGCUUAAGCUUGCAGGUGGGGGGAUUAAGACAGUGAUGUCUGUCCAGAAGAAAAUUUAAUUAGUCUCAUUUAAUCCAAAUGAGUGUGGCUCAGCUUUUGUUUGCUAGGAUUAAAUGGGGGGAUGUCUCAUCAUCCCUCCCGACAAAAAUGCUCAUGAGGGAUUUGUAAAUUUUUCUUUUCAUUAGGAGCCAGCUGGACUUUUAAAAAGUUUUCUUCCACUCCCACCAAGCUUUAUCAUAUUUUUCUCUUC